ACAACAUCGGAACAUAUACUUGAGAUAUAAAGAUGAUAAAUU
rnacentral:guide_RNA from 1 species